rnacentral:rRNA from 1 species
CACGUAGGGGCAAGCGUUGUCCGGAUUAUUGGGCGUAAAGAGCUCGUAGGCGGCUCGGUAAGUUGGGUGUUAAACCCCCAGGCUUAACCUGGGGACGCCGACCCGAUACUGCCGUGGCUAGAGUCCGGUAGGGGAGCGUGGAAUCCUGGUGUAGCGGUGAAAUGCGCAGAGAGUCGGGAGGAACACCCGUAGCGAAGGCGGCACUCUGGGACGUGACUGACGCUGAGACAC